AUGGCCUCCAUAUCUCUUUCCGUCGUGCACGAGGACUGGUCGAGAAGGUGGCAAGGGAAGCCGCCAUGGCUAGCCGCGGUGCUGCACAGGGAUGCCUACCUCCGGGUUUCCGUCUUGUCUCCAAUCCCCUUCCGUUUCAGUGUGUGUUCUUUUUUCCUCUUGGCCCGAUCUGCUCACAUGUUUGGGGUUUCAUGUUGUAGGGAUCAAGUCUGGUGCGGGCGGUGUGGUAUAAUGCAUAGUGCCAUUUAUCUGGUACAGGAGAAUGUCAAUGGUAAAGCAUUUGGUUCUGAUGGAUCAUAUUAUUGGUUCUCUGUUCAACUAAAGAUGGCUUCAGAUAAGACUACGGUUUGA
rnacentral:rRNA from 1 species